ACGCUGGCGGCGUGCCUAAUACAUGCAAGUAGAACGCUGAAGGAGGAGCUUGCUUCUCUGGAUGAGUUGCGAACGGGUGAGUAACGCGUAGGUAACCUGCCUGGUAGCGGGGGAUAACUAUUGGAAACGAUAGCUAAUACCGCAUAACAGUAGAUGUUGCAUGACAUUUGCUUAAAAGGUGCAAUUGCAUCACUACCAGAUGGACCUGCGUUGUAUUAGCUAGUUGGUGGGGUAACGGCUCACCAAGGCGACGAUACAUAGCCGACCUGAGAGGGUGAUCGGCCACACUGGGACUGAGACACGGCCCAGACUCCUACGGGAGGCAGCAGUAGGGAAUCUUCGGCAAUGGACGGAAGUCUGACCGAGCAACGCCGCGUGAGUGAAGAAGGUUUUCGGAUCGUAAAGCUCUGUUGUAAGAGAAGAACGGGUGUGAGAGUGGAAAGUUCACACUGUGACGGUAUCUUACCAGAAAGGGACGGCUAACUACGUGCCAGCAGCCGCGGUAAUACGUAGGUCCCGAGCGUUGUCCGGAUUUAUUGGGCGUAAAGCGAGCGCAGGCGGUUAGAUAAGUCUGAAGUUAAAGGCUGUGGCUUAACCAUAGUACGCUUUGGAAACUGUUUAACUUGAGUGCAAGAGGGGAGAGUGGAAUUCCAUGUGUAGCGGUGAAAUGCGUAGAUAUAUGGAGGAACACCGGUGGCGAAAGCGGCUCUCUGGCUUGUAACUGACGCUGAGGCUCGAAAGCGUGGGGAGCAAACGGGAUUAGAUACCCUGGUAGUCCACGCCGUAAACGAUGAGUGCUAGGUGUUAGACCCUUUCCGGGGUUUAGUGCCGCAGCUAACGCAUUAAGCACUCCGCCUGGGGAGUACGACCGCAAGGUUGAAACUCAAAGGAAUUGACGGGGGCCCGCACA
rnacentral:rRNA from 1 species